GGGUGACUAGUCUAGUGGUCAGGACGUUUCGUUGUGGUGUCUCUCCGAAGAAACCCCGGUUCGAUUCCGGGGUCGCCCA